rnacentral:rRNA from 1 species
CUUGGUGGCCAUAGCGUCCGUGACCCACCCGAUCCCAUCUCGAACUCGGCCGUGAAACCGGACUGCGCCGAUGGUACUGUGUCCUAAGGCACGGAAGAGUAGGUCGCCGCCAGGC